rnacentral:lncRNA from 14 species
CUCCAUGGAGCCUGACCGGUGCCUGAUCCUCUAUGGCGAUGACCAGGGAUGUGUGAACAUUCUGGUUCUGACAUCUGUAGGUGAACUACU